AGAGUUUGAUCAUGGCUCAGAUUGAACGCUGGCGGCAUGCCUUACACAUGCAAGUCGAACGCGAAAGGGGGCAACCCCGAGUAGAGUGGCGAACGGGUGAGCAAUACAUCGGAACAUUUCCUGUAGCGGGGGACAACCCCGAGAAAUCGGGGCUAAUACCGCAUACGAUCUACGGAUGAAAGUGGGGGACCGCAAGGCCUCACACUAUAGGAGUGGCCGAUGCCGGAUUAGCUAGUUGGUGAGGUAAUGGCCCACCAAGGCGACGAUCCGUAGCUGGUUUGAGAGAACGACCAGCCACACUGGGACUGAGACACGGCCCAGACUCCUACGGGAGGCAGCAGUGGGGAAUUUUGGACAAUGGGCGCAAGCCUGAUCCAGCCAUGCCGCGUGAGUGAAGAAGGCCUUCGGGUUGUAAAGCUCUUUCGGCGGGGACGAAAUGGCGCGGACAAAUAUUCCGCGUCGAUGACGGUACCCGAAGAAGAAGGACCGGCUAACUACGUGCCAGCAGCCGCGGUAAUACGUAGGGUCCAAGCGUUAAUCGGAAUUACUGGGCGUAAAGCGUGCGUAGGCGGUUUCGCAAGUCCGAUGUGAAAUCCCCGGGCUUAACCUGGGAACUGCGUUGGAAACUACGAGGCUAGAGUGCGGCAGAGGGGGGUGGAAUUCCAGGUGUAGCAGUGAAAUGCGUAGAGAUCUGGAGGAACACCGAUGGCGAAGGCAGCCCCCUGGGUUAGCACUGACGCUCAUACACGAAAGCGUGGGGAGCAAACAGGAUUAGAUACCCCCGUAGUCC
rnacentral:rRNA from 1 species